rnacentral:rRNA from 1 species
CCUACGGGAGGCAGCAGUAGGGAAUAUUGCUCAAUGGGGGAAACCCUGAAGCAGCAACGCCGCGUGGAGGAUGAAGGUUUUCGGAUUGUAAACUUCUUUUGUUAGAGAAGAAAAUGACGGUAUCUAACGAAUAAGCACCGGCUAACUCCGUGCCAGCAGCCGCGGUAAUACGGAGGGGGCAAGCGUUACUCGGAUUUACUGGGUGUAAAGGGCGCGUAGGCGGGAUAGCAAGUCAGAUGUGAAAUCCUAUGGCUUAACCAUGGAACUGCAUUUGAAACUGUGAUGCUAGAGUGUGGGAGAGGUAGGUGGAAUUCUUGGUGUAGGGGUGAAAUGCGUAGAGAUCAAGAGGAAUACUCAUUGCGAAGGCGACCUGCUAGAACAUAACUGACGCUGAUGCGCGAAAGCGUGGGGAGCAAACAGGAUUAGAUACCCCUGUAGUC